UGGGGGCGGGCGCCGCUUGGAGGCGGAAGCAGCCGCAGGCAUGGCGGCGGCCUUGCCGCUUGUCCUGCUCGUGCUGCUGCUCCUGGGUCCGGUGGGCAGGGGCCAUGCAGAGCCCCCACGCGACAGCCUGAGGGAGGAGCUCGUUAUCACCCCGCUGCCUUCUGGGGACGUAGCCGCCACGUUCCAGUUCCGCACGCGCUGGGAUUCGGAGCUGCAGCGGGAAGAAGUAUCUCAUUAUAGGCUAUUUCCCAAGGCCCUGGGGCAGUUGAUCUCCAAAUAUUCUCUACGAGAGCUGCACUUGUCAUUCACGCAAGGCUUUUGGAGGACUCGAUACUGGGGGCCACCUUUCCUGCAGGCCCCAUCAGGUGCAGAGCUCUGGGUCUGGUUCCAAGACACCGUCACUGACGUGGAUAAAUCUUGGAAGGAGCUCAGUAACGUGCUCUCGGGUAUCUUCUGCGCCUCUCUGAACUUCAUUGACUCCACCAACACGGUCACUCCCACUGCCUCCUUCAAACCCCUGGGACUGGCCAAUGCCCACCCCAGACAGCUUGAGUCUCCCUCAGGCACUGAUCACAAUUUCCUGCGCUACGCUGUGCUACCGCGAGAGGUUGUCUGCACAGAGAACCUCACCCCAUGGAAGAAGCUCUUGCCCUGCAGCUCCAAGGCAGGCCUGUCUGUGCUGCUCAAGGCUGACCGCUUGUUCCACACUAGCUACCACUCCCAGGCAGUGCAUAUCCGUCCUGUUUGCAGGAAUGCACGCUGUACCAGCGUCUCCUGGGAGCUGAGGCAGACCCUUUCUGUUGUGUUUGAUGCCUUCGUCACAGGACAGGGGAAGAAAGAUUGGUCCCUCUUUCGGAUGUUCUCCCGAACCCUGACGGAGCCCUGCCCCCUGGCUUCAGAGAGCCGAGUCUAUGUGGACAUCACCGGCUAUAACCAGGACAAUGAGACGUUGGAGGUGACCCCUCCCCCAACCACCACCUACCAGGACGUCAUCCUCGGUGCCCGGAAGACCUACGCCGUCUACGACUUGCUGGACACGGCUGUGAUCAACAACUCUCGUAACCUCAACCUCCAGCUCAAGUGGAAGAGCCCCCCAGAGAGCGAGGCCCCUCCGGUGCCCUUCCUGCACGCCCAGCGGUACGUGAGCGGCUACGGGCUGCAGAACGGGAAGCUGAACACGCUGCUGUACAACACGCACCCACACCGGGCCUUCCCCGUGCUGCUGCUGGACACCGUGCCCUGGCACCUGCGGCUGUAUGUGCACACCCUCACCAUCACUUCCAAGGGCAAGGACAACAAACCGAGUUACGUCCACUACCAGCCUGCGCAGGACCGGCUGCAGCCGCACCUCCUGGAGAUGCUGAUUCAGCUGCCGGCCAACUCGGCCACCAAGGUGUCCAUUCAGUUUGAGCGGGCGCUGCUCAAGUGGACCGAGUAUACCCCGGACCCCAACCACGGCUUCUACGUCAGCCCGUCUGUCAUCAGUGCCCUCGUGCCCAGCACGGUGGCAGCCAAGCCCGUGGACUGGGAAGAGAGCCCCCUGUUCAAGUCCCUGUACCCGGUCUCCGAUAGCUCUAGCUACUUUGUGCGCCUCUACACGGAGCCGCUGCUGGUGAACCUGCCCACGCCGGACUUCAGCAUGCCCUACAACGUCAUCUGCCUCACGUGCACGGUGGUGGCCGUGUGCUAUGGCUCCUUCUACAAUCUCCUCACCCGAACCUUCCACAUUGAGGAGCCCAGCACGGGCGGCCUGGCCAAGCGGCUGGCUAACCUUAUCCGGCGUGCCCGUGGCGUGCCGCCGCUCUGAGGCGCAUCCAUGGUCAGCUCAUCUCUGUUAACAGCACCCCUCAUCUUCCCGGUUGCCCAGGCCAAAAACCUUGGAGCCAUCCUUGAUUCUGCCCUCAUGAGCCGUGUGUGCCCUCCUCUACCUUCAAAGUGAAUCCAGGAGCCGACUCCCUUUUCACACCCCCAGUGCGGCGCUGUGGUGAGGGCUAACCUAUGCUGCAGUGUCCGGAACAGAGCCUGGCAUGCGGUUUGCAUUCCAAUGAUUGCUGAACGAAGGAGUGAAUGAAAGGAUGAAUCUCAGGCGGUAAUUUUGCUGCGAAGCAAGCCGGGUCACCCAAACAUCUGGGUUCUGAGCCUUGAAAUUCUUGCUGUGGCAGCACCUGAGCUGAAAUCAAGAGUCAGACACUUCAGCAACUGAGCCACCCAGGAGCCCCGGUUCUCAGUUCUUACUGUCCCAUGUCAUGAGUUGAUCUGAGCAACUGAUUAAAUUCUUUAGUUGUGUGUA